rnacentral:rRNA from 1 species
UCCGUAGGGUGCGAGCGUUGUCCGGAAUUACUGGGCGUAAAGAGCUCGUAGGUGGUUUGUCGCGUUGUUCGUGAAAACUCACAGCUUAACUGUGGGCGUGCGGGCGAUACGGGCAGACUGGAGUACUGCAGGGGAGACUGGAAUUCCUGGUGUAGCGGUGGAAUGCGCAGAUAUCAGGAGGAACACCGGUGGCGAAGGCGGGUCUCUGGGCAGUAACUGACGCUGAGGAGCGAAAGCGUGGGGAGCGAACAGG